ACAGGCAACCAGGUUGUGACUGAUGUAAACUGCCACUUUUGAGUAGAUUGAUAACAUCUGUGAUCCCAGAUGCCAAGGCAAAUAUAUUGAUAUUACUCACCCAUGCUGCCACUAAAAACCAUGUCGAAACCCAUAGUUUGGUCAUUGAGGAGUUCCAGUUUGUCUGUGGUCCCUCUGCUAGAAGAGUCUAUUGUGAAGUUCCUAGUCAGUACUGCUGCCUAAGGACAUAAUGACGUAAGUGCUGUGUGCUGCUACUGGAGACCAUUUUAUGUGUGUGAUCCUACAUGGAGCCUGAAGCUAUGCUGAUGUCAGUACUGUAAGUAGUGAACCUUAAUCAUAAUGGAGUCAUGGUUCCCGUUGGUAAUAGAGACCAAGGUGAUGGCUAUGAUCUGUGCUGGUGCUUGAGAACCCAUUAAAUUCCAAGGUCCAUACUGCACUCAAGAUCAUUUUGAGAUCAGAUUAUUGCUCAACUAUGUUGAAA
rnacentral:lncRNA from 1 species